GACGAACGCUGGCGGCGUGCUAAACACAUGCAAGUCGAACGGAAAGGCCCUGCUUUUGUGGGGUGCUCGAGUGGCGAACGGGUGAGUAACACGUGAGUAACCUGCCCUUGACUUUGGGAUAACUUCAGGAAACUGGGGCUAAUACCGGAUAGGAGCUCCUGCUGCAUGGUGGGGGUUGGAAAGUUUCGGCGGUUGGGGAUGGACUCGCGGCUUAUCAGCUUGUUGGUGGGGUAGUGGCUUACCAAGGCUUUGACGGGUAGCCGGCCUGAGAGGGUGACCGGCCACAUUGGGACUGAGAUACGGCCCAGACUCCUACGGGAGGCAGCAGUGGGGAAUAUUGCACAAUGGGCGGAAGCCUGAUGCAGCAACGCCGCGUGCGGGAUGACGGCCUUCGGGUUGUAAACCGCUUUCGCCUGUGACGAAGCGUGAGUGACGGUAAUGGGUAAAGAAGCACCGGCUAACUACGUG
rnacentral:rRNA from 1 species